UCAGAGGGUGCCAUGCAGAAGACAUUUGAAAUGGAGUUGAGUUUUCAAACAUUCACAUCCUUUAUUUCAUAUGAGAAUGUGAGGGGAUGGGGACUCCUUUUAAAACAGAAGCUUUAAAAGACAGUAGCUAGAAUUUAUGCUGAAGUGGAGUAACAGGCUUUGGAGCUGAGCAGUGUCCUAAUGCAGGGAAAUUUGGAAGAACUUGAACAGCAUUCACUUUGAGCAAAUUGCAGGAUAUCAGAAACAACGGGGCAUCUGCCUUCCUUUUACAAUCCACCUUCCAGUGGGAUGAUAAACUCAAGGACCAAACAAUCACAACAGGCCCACUUGAGCUGGAGAAACAAUGGCCUGUAGCCGGUCCUAUGCCUCAGUGCGAAACAACAAUGCAGGCCUCUUGACGAAUUCUGGCGUCG